ACUAGUCCUGACUCAUUGAUGUAGUAGCAGCAUUCUUCAUUGAGGAACAUACAGGUCCCGCCUUUGUCAGCCGUAAGGAGAUCGAGUGCUCUGUGAUUCUGGGCUGCCACCUGGGCCACUGAGGUGAUCUGUCGUUGGAGGGAAGCCAGGGACUCUGCUGAAGCUUCGAUUGCUACCUGUAAUCGGGCUGAAAGGUCUUGAAAGGAUCGGACAGAAUGAGUUAAGGCUCCAGUUCCAAGGCCAGAGGCCAUGAGGGAUACAGCUAAAGAGACUCCAAUCAUUAGCAGAAGGAAUACUGCUCUUGCCUGGUGGGGGCGGGUAAUGGGCAGAAGACAGGAUAGCUCAGCUUCACUGUACAGGGUGAGGCUGGGGACUAGGGAGAUGGGAACGCAUAGGGUAGUGUUGGAAGCCUUGAGAGUUUUUGACAGGGUGGAGUUGUACCAAAAAUACCCACCUGGGGGCGCAGUGAGAUUUGGAGGUGCCGAUCCUGUCCAAUUGCACCAGGAAACAUUAGGGGUGGAGUAGCAAAAGGGGAGUUGUUGUCUAAGUGGGUCUUGGAACAAAGGAACUUCCCCCAGGGUUUGGCCGGGAUGGGAAAAGGAGGGGGUUAGGUUAGAGGAGUUAAAUGGGCUAGGUAAAGGUACCACAACCAGUGGGGGCUUAUUUAAUGCUGCAGACAAGAAAGAAUGGGAGAUGUUGUGCACUCUGACCAUAUGUACUACCUGGGCCCCUUCUCUGACUAAGGUUGCUGCCACUUGGUGUACGACAUGUCAAGGAGGAAGAAAGUAAUCCGGAAAAGUUUCCUGACCUACACCUGCUGCUGCGAUUCAACAACCACCAGGAAAUUUUGAUGACACUGCUCUCUGGAGCUCCUCUCUUUCCUCCGGGAAAAAAGGAAUGAAACAAAUAAAAUAAAGUGUUAUUUGGCUGAAGUGAGGUCUCCUGGCUGUUUACGUGGUGGCUUGCUGCUCAAUACAGGGAACCAUUGGAGAUGCUCGUUACUCUUUGAAGGCUUACAGCGGAAUGAAUUCAAAUACGACUUAUUUGAGGAAUUGAAGUUGACUUUAUGGAGCUGAUAAGAAUCUUCUUGGAAAAAAAAAAAGACUGGGUAUAUUUUCAAUACACUUUCCUUUUAAGGUCCCUUACCUGUGGAGAGUAAAGAAUGUCACUUUCUGACAGGCCCAGGAACCUCAAGUUAUGUGGGGAUCUCAGGAAGAUGGGGGAAUUCACCCAGUUCGUACAGGUGAAAUUGUUGUUGCAAAGAUUAUGAAUAUGAGAGAAGUCCAGCAUGGCUGACUUCAUCUCAUGUCUGGCCUCAGGCCAGCUGCCCUUGCUCACUCUUGGGCAUAGGCCAAGCUAGCCAUGGGAGGAAUUUAGUUUAUAGUUUAACUUUGAAGCAAGGAUGAUAAUACUCUCUCCCUAAAAUGAACUUCUUCCUUGCUCAGGGACUGAAACUACCUUUGUAAGACAAAUGAAAGCCCACAAGAUUAGGAUUAUGAGAGGGGCCUGAGUUAUGCUAAAAUGCAGGUGUAGCUGACUGAUAACCAGUAUUGUCCCACAGCUUGCCUUUCUGUAAUCUCUUGCUUCUCAGGAGUCACAUGGCCAGAGGUCCUGAGAUUUCUGGUCCUGUGACCCCCACCCAGAGACGGACUUGGUGCAUGAGGACCAUUUUCCACACCCCUGUGAUUUCAUCCUCAAACAAUCAGCAGCACCCAUUCCCUAGCCCCCUGCCUGCCAAACUAUCCAUAAAAAUCCUGGCCCCUGAGUUAUUAGGGAGAUUGAUUAAUAAUCCCAGCCCUGCCCUUGGAUUGCUCUGAUUUAAUUAAACCUCUACUGCAAUACCACGGACUCAGUGAAUUGGUUUUGUCUGUGCAAUGGGCAACAAGAACCCGUUGGGUGGUUAUACAGGUACUACAAGCACAGGCUGAUGGCAAAUUAUUGGUUUUGCUUCCUGCCCUUGGUGUUUCUAAACAUCUAGUCCAAAAUUACUCGUGAAAUGUCCAGCAAAGCCAAUUUUAAAAGAGGCUAUAUGGCCAAUCACUAUUCUUUCUGCACAUCAUUGCAAAUAAUCGGGUUACGGCUGGGCACGGUGGCUCACGCCUGCAAUCCCAGUACUUUGGGAGGCUGAGGCAGGUGGAUCACUUGAGAUCAGGAGUUCGAGACCAGCCUGGGCAA